GUCAGCAGCCGUUUUUCGAGUUUUCUCGUUUGCCAGUUUGUCGGUUUGUACAUUUUCACGAUUCGCACGUGUGCACGAUUUCAUGUAUUGACGUGCGCACAUGUGCACAAUUUCUUGAUUUUCAGUUUUUGAUACUGUUGGUGUUCUUGAGUUCAGGUUUUCGUGUUUUCAGUUUUUGAGACCUUGAUUAAUGAUUUAUUUUUUAUUAUUUUUGAUUUUCAUUUUUGCGAUUUAUUAUUAUUUUUUGAUUCAGAUCCUUUAAUCCAGAAAAUUCAGUUUGGCCGAGGUGGUUUCAUCCCGAAAUUCCUAGUUGGCAUUCCGAGAACUUUUUCCUGGAAUUCCUGAUUGGCAUUCCGAGGACUUUUUCCUAAAAGCCCAUGCAAAUAAGGCCGAUUCCUUCGCCGUUGAUCUGUUUGAAUCGAUGGUGGAAUUUACUGGAGGCUCUCAGGCUCACUAAGAUUUUUUCUUUUUGCAUCACAUUAGAUCGAAAUUCAAGCACGGUUUUGUUGAUAUGCAGCCCGUGACGAAGUUCAGCCCCACUGCCUACAAGAUCAACAUGCGUUCCAUGUCCAGCGCUGUGCAUAUGCUCCAGGAUCGUCUGUCUGUGUUUUCCAGUACAUGGCCACCGUGGAGCAGAAACAGUUGCCACCGGACAAUAAUUAUUGGGUAGCAUGAAUUGGGAAUUGUAAUGCUACCUGCGUGUUUUCUUUGACGUUAAAAAACGUAUGGUUUAAUGCGGACACUUCUUCGCUUAACCAACUGUGGCAGAAGAACGAGCAGAAAAUUAAAAAAACUUGACGCGGCAAUUUCGGAUGUUUAAAGAAUUUGGGAUCUGUCAAAGUGCGCGAAGCGUACCUUGCCAAGUUUAAUAACCUUUCCCGCACUGGAGACAAGGAAGGGGCUGAAAGUGCGUUUCGACAGCGCUUUGAAAAAACAGUAAGUCAAGGCAACAAACUCGAUCCGAUUUUCCAAAUUGUCCGUAUCGGUAUCUUCUUUGAUGAUUUGGAUUUAACCGCACACAUUUUGGAUAAAGCAUGGAGUCUGCUGGAGCAGGGCGGUGAUUGGGAUCGACGAAACCGGCUAAAGGUUUAGCACAUUUACCUGUUCGGAGAUACAUAUUAGACUACGAUACCUACGUGGCGUAUAACGUCAUGUGCGCGAUGCUGACGCUGGAACGAGCGAAACAAAGAAAAAUGACCACUGACCACUUUUACGUAAAAUUUGGUAUGGAUACUCACACUUUCGCUUUAAAAGGGAUAGUUGCCCUAUUAAACAAAGUUGUACGAGUACUAUUCAAUUAUCUUAUUAUGACAGGACUGCUAGUGUAGAGCACUCGCCCAGCAUUUUUGUUUGCUGAUUAUGCAACGUUUCAUUGCGACUGAAGCGAAUUUAUAACUGAGGAGGUUGCUUCUUAUAACGGUGCUAUCACUAUUCAUCGAGUAUAAUUGUAUUAAGUGUGUCCGGAGCGCUGAGACUGUGGAAGUUUUGCUUAGAAUGCCGGAUAUGCGACAGUUUCUCAGCUCAUUGUACGGAUCGCAUUAUGCUGAAUUUUUUCUAGAGCUGGCAAACUUUGAGCAGAAAGUAAAAGCGGACCGGUACUGACUGGGCUGAUCAUCACCUCGACAACACGCGGGAAAUUAUUGUUACGGUCAAGCAUGCUGCCGUUCUUCCGAUCAUUUCGUUCGGCUGUGGUACUUUUGGUUUGUCCACGUUUUCCAGCUAGUCAUUGUGUUGGUUUUACUGAUGUGCAUUGCCAGUAAAUACUAUUGCCGCCGGUGGAUGCUGAUUAACCGAGAACGAUCCACGAUUGUCGUUUACCGCUCACCGAAUGUUAUGGCUUAUCACGUGGGUGAAGCCCAUCCGAGUUUUUAUCCUCGUGCCGAUGUGCAAACAACAGCUGUUUAUCCUACAUACACCGGUCCGGGAACAGGCGGCCUGACCUUUCUAGCUUUACCCGGCGGCGGAAAGUAAUGGUCGGCUGCCGGAGAAUCCAAAGGGCCGCAUCCUGCUCCACCGCCCAGUUGCAGCGAUUUGUACAAAUAGUCGCUUAUUUUGCUGAUGCGUUUUAAAGUAGAACUUGCACGGCCACGUCGCUGAGUUUGAUCUGUCAUUGGUGUUUUUUUAUUUUCCAAACCAUCCGUGUGGGGUGGCUUUGUAAGUUAUUUACAGUGUUGGAGUUUUUUGAACGAUGUGGUGCUACAUGCCGCCCAUUAUAAAACUUUUAAUAAGUAAUAAGGAACUAUUUUUCCGUAUUGUGAAGUUAUAAUAAAAAUAACGGAAUAAAAA